AUUGAACGCUGGCGGCAGGCCUAACACAUGCAAGUCGAGCGAGCGGCGGACGGGUGAGUAAUGUCUGGGAAACUGCCUGAUGGAGGGGGAUAACUACUGGAAACGGUAGCUAAUACCGCAUACCAUCAGAUGUGCCCAGAUGGGAUUAGCUAGUAGGUGGGGUAACGGCUCACCUAGGCGACGAUCCCUAGCUGGUCUGAGAGGAUGACCAGCCACACUGGAACUGAGACACGGCCCAGACUCCUACGGGAGGCAGCAGUGGGGAAUAUGGCACAAUGGGCGAAAGCCUGAUUCAGCCAUGCCGCGUGUAGGAAGAGCGCCUUCGGGUUGUAAAGUACUUUCAGCGGGGAGGCGUUACCUGCAGAAGAAGUACCGGCUAACUCCGUGCCAGCAGCCGCGGUAAUUC
rnacentral:rRNA from 1 species